rnacentral:lncRNA from 1 species
CCCAGGUGGAGUGGCACAAUAGAGAUCAAGGACCCUAGACUGGGUCUGUACUCCAUAAAUAGGGCGGUCCCUUCAACAUUUCCCUCAGGUGAGGCAGAGGUACCAACAAAGUUUUUAUGAACAUCAGAUCUUCGAAGAGGCAUGAUAUGAAAUAUGAGCAAACCAAAAGUUAAAGAAAUGUCAUGACUCUAGACUCUAUAGCUUGAAUUAGAACACAAGAAAGGGAA